rnacentral:Y_RNA from 1 species
GGCUGAUCUGAAGAUGAUAAGUUAUCUCGAUUGAUUGUUCAGUCAGUUACAGAUCCAACUCCUUGCUCUAUUCUUUCCUCUCUUCUCACUACUGCACUUGGCUAGGAAG